GUGAACGCUGGCGGUAGGCCUAACACAUGCAAGUCGAACGGCAGCACAGUAAGAGCUUGCUCUUACGGGUGGCGAGUGGCGGACGGGUGAGGAAUACAUCGGAAUCUACUUUUUCGUGGGGGAUAACGUAGGGAAACUUACGCUAAUACCGCAUACGACCUACGGGUGAAAGCAGGGGAUCUUCGGACCUUGCGCGAUUGAAUGAGCCGAUGUCGGAUUAGCUAGUUGGCGGGGUAAAGGCCCACCAAGGCGACGAUCCGUAGCUGGUCUGAGAGGAUGAUCAGCCACACUGGAACUGAGACACGGUCCAGACUCCUACGGGAGGCAGCAGUGGGGAAUAUUGGACAAUGGGCGCAAGCUUGAUCCAGCCAUACCGCGUGGGUGAAGAAGGCCUUCGGGUUGUAAAGCCCUUUUGUUGGGAAAGAAAAGCAGCAGGUUAAUACCCCGCUGUUCUGACGGUACCCAAAGAAUAAGCACCGGCUAACUUCGUG
rnacentral:rRNA from 1 species